rnacentral:lncRNA from 1 species
AGUUUACUGCGCGCCCCCGAGGGCCGGGGCUUCCCCUUCCCCGCCCCCUUGGCUUUCGCAGUCAAAUCCCGCUCUCCGCCCGCCGCCCGCGGAAGUCUCACCGCGCAGCAGCACCCCCAGCCCGGGCGGUUCCGGGGACCGAAGGGCGCGGCACGUAGGGGGCCCGUAGGAUCCAAACUGCGGAGGAGAAGCAGGAGGAGGGAGGAGGAAGAAGACAAAGGAGCAGCUUCUAGUUGCAGCUCAAGACCCGCGAGUUCACCCUCCGCGCCAAGCACCCAACUCCCGGCUCUGCCUACAGUCACCCACAGACCUAAUGAUCGACUAAGCGCCGUAAUGGCCCGAGAUGACACCAGGAGACUCCCUUGCUGUGCGCCUCCGGAAGACGCGGAACGUAGCCCCUUUCUCACACUCCUGGGACACAAAAAUACCCGACAACUCAAAGUCGCCAAACCACAUCUUUUCAUGCUUUGAAGACUUCUGCCCAAGGCUGUGGCAGGAGUAUGUCCAACUGUGAUUUGGGAUUCUUUUUAAACAUCGAAUCAAAGGGAAGAGGGGAGGGAUUCGCAACUAAAUGGUAGUUGUUUUCAAGCAAGUCUUUACGUAGCCCCAAACCUACUCUAGUAUUCGGUGAUUCAGCCCCAAAACAUCUCUGCCUGCCUUUAUGUUCGGAUCUCACUCCAUUAUUUGUCAGCACCAAGUACUAAACCCACAAAGCGAUCGCUGUACGGGACACCAAACCCAUACCUGCCCGUCCCCUACCUUCCAGGCAACCAGUGUCAAUCUCCUCACUAUACAUAAUUCCCAACAUCCCUGCCCGAAGUGAGGAGAACGGUAAUUUAAAUAAUACAGCGGGGGAGGAGAGGACACACUGUUUUUGAAAGACUGUAAGCAUUCUGCUGUUCCACUCUGCGUCCUUACACUUGCUGAGCACUGACACCAAAUUUAAAUGGCGUUCCUUCAAAACUGAUGUAAUUGUAAAGAGCUGUAAAGGGCAAUGACCUCAAGUGGAUGUUUUUUCCCAGGUACCCUACAAGGUUUGCACAAAGCAAGAAAGCAUCAUGUAACCGAAAUGCUGAAAAGUAUAGAUGCUGCAAAACCUCAUUCUGAGACUGAGAACUAUGAAUAGUCAGUGUAUUUCCUUCUGCGGUGCAGAAAAAGAACAACCAAAAAGAAAGCAACAAGGGGAGAUGUUAUUUAUUUUAAUGACACCAAAACUACCAAUCCUAGCAAUUUAAUAAAUUAAAAUCAUAGUCCUUUAAAUGU